rnacentral:tRNA from 1 species
UCCUUUGUGGCUCAGUUGGUAGAGAAUGGCACUUGCAAUGCUCGGGUUGUGGGUCUGAUUCCCACUGAGGAC